rnacentral:rRNA from 1 species
AGCAGCCGCGGUAAUUCCAGCUCCAAUAGCGUAUAUUAAAGUUGUUGCAGUUAAAAGCUCGUAGUUGAACUUCGGAAUUUGUUCAUUGGUCAGGCUUAACUGUCUGUACUGGUGUUACGAAUUUCUACCUUCUGAGGAAUCCUCAUGCCAUUAAUUUGGUGCGGGGGGAAUCAGGACUGUUACUUUGAAAAAUUAGAGUGUUUAAAGCAGGCUAACGUCUGAAUACAUUAGCAUGGAAUAAUAAAUAGGACGGUUUGGUUCUAUUUGUUGGUUUCUAGGAUCACCGUAAUGAUUAAUAGGGAUAGUUGGGGGCAUUAGUAUUCAAUUGUCAGAGGUGAAAUUCUUGGAUUUAUUGAAGACUAACUACUGCGAAAGCAUUUGCCAAGGAUGUUUUCAUUAAUCAAGAACGAAAGUUAGGGGAUCGAAGACGAUCAGAUACCGUCGUAGUCUUAACCAUAAACCUAUGCCGACUAGGGAUCGGAUGAUGUAAUUUUUAANGACUCAUUCGGCGCCUUACGGA